UAUAAUGACCAGAUCUGGGUCA
rnacentral:miRNA from 1 species